rnacentral:rRNA from 1 species
CCCUUAGAUGUUCUGGGCCGCACGCGUGCUACACUGAGUGGAUCAGCGGGUCAGGUUGCGCGAAAGCGUUUCCUAAUCUUUAAAUCCGCUCGUGAUGGGGAUUGACGGUUGCAAUUUUCUGUCAUGAACGAGGAAUACCUUGUAAGCGCGGGUCAUCAUCCCGCGCUGAAUACGUCCCUGCCCUUUGUACACACCGCCCGUCGCUCCUACCGAUGGGUGAUCCGGUGAAUGAUUCGGACUUCAGCGGCUCCUCUGGGGUGCGCCGGAGAAAGUUUUGUGAACCUUAUCACUUGGAGGAAGGAGAAGUCGUAACA